CAGUGCCACGGGAAUACGUAGGGUGCAAGCGUUAAUCGGAAUUACUGGGCGUAAAGCGUGCGCAGGCGGUGUUGUAAGACUGAUGUGAAAUCCCCGGGCUCAACCUGGGAACUGCAUUGGUGACUGCAACGCUGGAGUGCGGCAGAGGGGGAUGGAAUUCCGCGUGUAGCAGUGAAAUGCGUAGAUAUGCGGAGGAACACCGAUGGCGAAGGCAAUCCCCUGGGCCUGCACUGACGCUCAUGCACGAAAGCGUGGGGAGCAAACAGGAUUAGAUACCCCCGUAGUCCCUGUCUCUUAUACA
rnacentral:rRNA from 1 species